rnacentral:rRNA from 1 species
CAUGGCAUAACCGUGGUAAUUCUACAGCUAAUACAUGAGCAAAAUCUCAACUUUAUUAGAAGAGACGCAUUUAUUAGAUAAAAAGCCAAUGCAUGCUUUUACAGUAUGGAAAUUGGUGAUUUAUAAUAACUUGGCAAAUCGCAAAGUGAAAACAGGCGAUAAAUCAUUCAAGUUUCUGACCUAUCAGCUUUCGACGGUAUGGUAUUGGCUUACCGUGGCAGUGACGGUUAACGGGGGAUUAGGGUUCGAUUCCGGAGAGGGAGCCUGAGAAACGGCUACCACAUCUAAGGAAGGCAGCAGGCGCGCAAAUUACCCAAUUCUAACAGUUUGAGAGAGGUAGUAACAAGAAAUAACAAUACAAGGCAAUUAAAAUGCUUUGUAAUUGGAAUGAUAGAAAUUUAAACCCUUUUUAAAGUAUCAAUUGGAGGGCAAGUCUGGUGCCAGCAGCCGCGGUAAUUCCAGCUCCAAUAGCGUAUAUUAAAAUUGUUGCAGUUAAAAAGCUCGUAGUUGAAGUUCUGCUAAAAGUAACCGGUCUGCUUUUAAUAAAAGUGGUAUCUUGGUGUGUAUUUAGCAAUGAUGUCCUUUGAAGUGUUUUUUACUUUAUUGUAAUAAAGCAUAUUCAGGACUUUUACUUUG